GCAAGUUUUAUUAAUAAAAUUCCGUACAUUUUGAGAUAAAUACUUUCGAAACAAGGUAAAUCUUAGCAUAGCACUGAAGUCAUAUGAAAUGUAGCUGUACUUAGGGUUGUGGUACCGGUAAUACCAGUACCGAAAAUCCCGGAAAUACCGACCCAUUUUUGGUACCGUAAUACCGGUACUGAAGAAAAGCCAGUACCGGUAUUUUCGGUACCAUACAAUUUUUUUAUGAAAAAUAUGUGGAUUCUCUAGGGGAACAUGUUUCAAAAUAUUGGUCUGCAAGAUGACUUUUAAUUAUAUUAAUUACCUUCUAUAAGUUAAACAUUACUAGCUCCCGUUGUACUGAACGGAAUGUUUAAAUUCUUUAUAUAGUUAUUAUUAAAUUUUAACGAUCUUGUACUAAAUUUCAUAAUAUUCACAUCUAGCGUAAGAGACGUAAAAAUUUGCUAUGAUUUUUUUAUUAGCGACAUUCUGAUUGGUUUCCAUUUUUUACUGGGUGGCACGUAAUAAGACUAUGGUCUAAAUCAUGUCUUUGGUUUGCUCUUAAACCUUUAUUUAUAAAAUAAAGAACAGCGAUUUAGCAGCUAACAAUUUUAGACUUGGUGAGCUACUCCAAAUGAGGCGAUUUGUGAUUAUUAGUGAUAGGAAAAUUCAGCAAAACUCCAUAGUUUACAGGAAAGCAAAGAGCCUUGGUAUGCAGGUCGAAACCAAUUUACAGCAAAUCAAGAGAGGAAAAGCGAGCAACCUGCUCGGAUUUACUGCCAUUCUCGCUUUGAUUUACUGUUAUUAAUGGUGUUUCUUACUUUUACCAUCUGUUAAAGUCGAUAAAAGUCGCACCGCUUAGCAGUUAUUGAUUUCAUAGUGGCCUAGAUUUCGAAAUAAAAGAAGGUGCCGCAUACGAAAAAUAUUUUCUGCUGAAAUGAGUCAUGCCAUUCCGAAUCAAUUAAAAACAAUAAACAUGUUUUUUGAUCAGCACAAAUCAAUCAUCUGAGAAUAAGGUCAUCAGUUUCAGCAUUCAAUUUCAUUUUGAAGCUCCUUUCGAAUUUAAAAAAGGGCUUCAGUACCGUAGUACCGGUUCUCGACAAAAAGGGUCGGUACUGCGAACCCUACAUGUACUUCAUCAUUAUACAUACAAAAACGUUCUUCCGCAGCAAUCAAUAGGAAAACUUUUAAGUUCUCCAAAUUAAUCAAAAGUUCUCCAAUUUAAUCAAAAUUCACAGUUGAGAAAAUGUCAUCGUAAACGAUUCAUAAUUCCACGAUUGUCAAGAGGAAUCGGGAGAAAUGAUGCAUUUUUAAAUUGGAUUUGAUAGUGCAAUUCAAUUGUUUUUCAAUGAUUGUAUUGUGCAUUUUAUAUAUUUGAAAAGGUUCGCUUGCCAAUUUUUAAAAGUGUUCAAAAUAUGACGUAAAAAUACUGAUGCCAAAUUAUAUUGGACACAGCUUAUAGAUUUUAUUUCUUAGUAACAGAUUGUUUUAUCAUAUUAGAAUAAACAAAAUGUAAAAAAUCAAGUAGCGAUAGGUCGAAUACAGAUUAUAUUCGGAUUUAUUUUCCAAUCAUUGUCAAGUCCAUGAAAAUUAGAGCAAUCAAAUGUUUAUUAUGUUUCCCUAUUGUAAGGUAAUAAGUUUCGUCGUUCUUAAAUGGUAAAAGUCAAAGUUUUAAUUCACUUUUUAAUGCAGACUGCAGACUUAUCAAUUAUUUUUUUAAGUGCGGUUGCGGUAAUACCGCGCGGUAAAUGCUCAUUUCCCGCACCGCAUCCGCAAGAAAAAGUGUCUUACCGCACCGCAGAUUUUGCGGUGCGGAUGCGGCAAAUACCGCGCGGUUGCGGUAAAUACCGCAACCGCGACGAACCCUAGUGGUGACAGUGUGUUGGUUAGAUGAUUAGAAUUAUUCCAAAUUUUCUGUGUCCAAAUUAGACUAUAGUUAGAUCAGUAGAUAGAUGGUACAAAACGCUUCACGAGUCUAUCAGCAGCUAAGAGCUAAACUUUUGCAACUGAAAUCUGGCAAAAGAGUCACUCUUUAAAUUAUUUUCUGUACUACCGAGAUCUGAAUAGCUAUCCAGCGUAUGUUCGCGAAGGAAUAGGAAGUAGUGGUAAACCCGUGAAAAUAUUUGCAGUGUAGUAGUUAUGUCCAAGUCGUUUCAAUCUAAUCAGUAGUACACCAAUUAAUUGUAUUAUGUUACUUAGUUUAUAGUGCUUUCGUUCCAGGAAUACUUAUAAUCGAUGAAGUCAAGACAAUUUAUCACCGCUACUUAUUGUAGUGAAUCGCAUUUUUUACUCAAAAAUGAGUAAAAUUUCAUUUCUGAUCGUAAUGAGCUAUCUUCAACCGGCAUUGAUAUACCACAUCAUUCUAACUUGUCUCUCCUACUUCUACACAUUUUCGAGUCGAUACGAUUAUCAUCAGAAAUAAGGAGAUUUAGAACAUUUAAUACAAGAUUUGUAUCUACUCAAAAAUGAUUGGAAGUAGAUAAGAAAAAUUGAAAUGGUGUAAUACAAAUGCCGGAUAAAAAUAGCCUAUAUCGAUCAGACGCUAUAUCAUACAAAUUUCACUUAUUUUUCAGAAAAAGUUAUUUUCGUUGUUAUGAGUGAAUGUGUACGAAAAUUCAUUACAUCAAACUAGAAUUUAGGGUAUCCACAUUCCUAACUUUCUCGCACACGCUGGGCGCGUAGUACGUUUCUUCACAAACAAACCGAUAAUGCCUUUUUCCCAAUCAAAAACCCAUCACCUGUUUCUCACCCAGUAAAGACAAUCGUUGUUUAUGAUCGCCACCUUGGGCUCGGAUUCGGUCAGCGGAUGCGAAUUACAUGAUUUUCGAUAAAUCGGAAAAGUCACUGAUAUAAAAUAUUCAGUUUUCGUUUGAAUUAAAAAUAUUAGAAAACAUUCAUACUUGAUUGUUCAUCUCCUAUCAUUACUGGUUCAAAGUUUGUAAGAUGUAGCCAUAUUUGAAUCCUAAAAAUAAUCAAAUUCUGUUGUUGACAACAUUGAUAAAUUCGAUAGUUAGUUUUAAGCAAACCUCGACCCGUAAGCAACUAUAUCGCGUUCAAUCGAAACCAUUGGUGAAUCCCAUUGUAAUUUUGAACCUAACCCUAGCGACAGUUCAAUGUUGAUCAUUGCUGAAUUGGGUGGAAUUAAGUGACAAAAGUAAUCUUAUCAUGAGCAUAGAUUUUAGAAUUACCUUUUAAACCAUUAAAUACUUUAGAAUUCAUUAUAAAACCAAAACAAAACAAAAUCAUUAAAACCAUCGCAUUUGUUAGUUUAGAAUAAGCACUCAUAAGCACAUCUGAUGGAUACCAUCUAAAUGCUGUUCCUUGGUUCCUAUCCAAUCCAAUCUAUCUUCCGGGAUUCUCGUAGUGUUGCCUAUGUUUGUUGUUCGUUGUCCCUUUGCACAACCAAUCAUAGCACCUAUUUGUAGGCACAAGUGUCAUCCUGGAAAUACGUAUGUCAUCUGAAAGAAGUACAUAGUUUUAUUGAAAAUAUUCUUUGCUCUUCCCCAUCGUUAAAUACCCUUUCUAUCGCUUACCGUUAGAUGACUUGUUAUUUGCUGGAAACUCAACAAACAAUUGAAUAUUUUACACUGACGUCACAAAUGAACUGGAAGUUCAUUUUUGACAGUUCGCUUGUACUGUUUACAUGGACUUAGAAUUUGUUUUAUGAUUUGCUUCGAGCAAAUCGAGUCGUGCACAAAUUUUUCUAAGUCCAUGUGAACUGUCAAGAAAAGUGAGGUUAACUGCGUCAGUAAAAAACCUGAUGUAAUCGUAGCCAUCUUGGGUGGCAGCUAAUCAACUCAUGAUACUGGUAGUUAUUUGCAUCCAAAUUAUUAACGAGAGUUCUACACCAAAAAAAUCUGAAUUUUAUCGUUGACGUAAUUCCAAACAUGCCACAAUCUAACAAACCGUAAUUGACGAAGUGACGAAAUAUAACCGUGUUCUGUUUAAUUUUACAUGAAAGAUGUACUUUUCGUGAGCAGUGCCAUAAAAUUACAGUUAAACAUUUUAAACAAACGCCAUAUGUGGAGUAAAAUUACGUGACUCGCAAAAGUCAACGACAUGUAAAAUUAAAAUCAAACGUAAAACUAUGUCAUUUUUGAUGCUCGUAUAUGUCAUGGUCAGGAGACGUAAAUUUACACGAUUUUUUCUAGUUGUGUACAAGAUGAUGUCACUAGUGAACCCAUGAUGAAUGUAGUUCAUGUUUUACAAUUCUCGGUGGAUUGUUUAUUGUUAGUUGCGUGAGUUCGAAUGCAACGGAUGCUCAUCUGUUACACUCGAACUCACGUAGCUCCCAUGUAAACAAGCCACGGAGAAUUGUCAAACGAAGUUCAUCCGGGUAAAACCUAAUAGAGUUCUGGGCAAAUCUCGCGUACUUUUUGAAAUGGACCUAUGUGCAAAAGAGAGCCUCUCUUUGUUUACUUUCUCUUCCGAUUAUCACGGCAUUACCAUUAAUCUUUCCAAUAAUGAUCCAGUACAUAUUGGAAGAUCAUGGUUUUGACUAGCAUAUUACGCAAAGAUUUAAGCAGCAAACGCAAAUGCGACCGAGUUAUUAGCGGAAGAGAAAGUAAACAAAGAGAGGCUCUCAUUUGCACAUAGGACCUUUUCAAUAAGUUUGCUUGAAAUCAUUCUACACACACCACUUGAGUGGUUUGUUUUUCUCCAGCUGUCAUAUGUAAAACUGUCAGCCAAUUUAAUCAUUAAAAAUAGCUUGCAAAAAGUCUUUAUAAUGGUGCUGUUCAACGCCGGUUGGUCAGGUUCCAUCAUGAAAAUAAUCUGACUGAAAAGUUAUUUUCGAUUUGUUUUUCUCCAUCUAUGACAGGUGGAGGAAAACAAAUCAUCGAACACACUAAUGCAGUUACAGAUUGUCAAUUACUCUAUAGUAUGUUUUCGGCAGAAUAGGAGCUUAAUGAAAAAUGAAAGAAGAGACUUCAUUGACUACCAUUGAAUAGUAAUUAGCGACUGGCUGAAAUGGAACGCUCCCCAUGUUGAUCGGAGAUUUGUACCUUGCCGUGAUUUGUUUUUUUCAUCAUUUUCCUGGAAGGAUUGGGGAUGUGUUUUGGUUAGAGAUAAGUAAAAUAACGACACGAAAAACAACCAAUGCGGAAGAAUACUUCACUGCCAAUGGAAUGAGAGCCACUUCUCCAAAAGCGGAUAUAUCAACAUACUCGAGGAAAUAAUGAGAUAACAGAACGACAACACCCCCGAAGAGAUAUGUACUGUCAUACAAAUUCGGUUUAAAACGAUUUAGGUUUAUAACCUUUCGACGUGACUUUUUGGAGGCCAUAGUUCAGUUUGUAACGGUUUUUCGCCAGAAAUGACAAUUAUCAGUCGACGAUGCCGUAAAAAUUCUAAUGUAUAUGAUUUCGUUCUCAGAACUUCCCAGCAUAUUCUACAACUCUUUACCACACUGAGUUACGUUAUUCCCUGUUCACAGGUUCAUCUAUGUAUUGAGAACCAAAAAUCCGAAUACGCAAUUGCAUUGCUGCAAAGCAUUUACGUAUCAAAUGAUAUGAAGUUCCGUAAUCGAAUUCACAAAGAUCUCACGAAUAAUACUCAGCACGCUGAAUAGUAGCCAUGUGAUAAUUGAGUUUGCAAAUCAAAUUAGUGCUCUGAUUAGAAUGCUGCAAUUUUGCUUGGAUAAAUUCGAUAAAUUCAUUGACAUUGUCGGACUCACAUUAGGCAGACACGUUUUCGAUUGAAUGCAAGUUUGCAAGCUACGCCAAUAAUUGGCAUGUUCGGAUACAGCCUAAGAGCGAAUCUUGUGCAUUAUCCUACUUAUCGGAAGUGGAAAAACUGGUUCUGGACCAACGAAGCCAGUCGCAGCGCUCGCUCUAGCCAAUUCGUCUACCCAUUAAUUUCCAGUAUUACCGGAAUGACCGGGUAUUCAUGGAAGGUAGAUAGCAUUUGAAAUGCUAAGCUCUUCGACUUGAGUUCGACAUCCAAAUACUAAUUUCGACAUCGAAUCUGCCGAACUAAGUGCUUUUAGGACUGUCAGAGUAUAAAUAUGAUGAUGAUGGUCCCACCUCAUACCCCCAUAAAUAAAUUCUUUUAAUGCAAUUUACCUGUUGAGGUACCGAUUGCACGCCAUACAGAAUUGUGAAAAUUUCUGCUUGGAAUAUGGUACAGUAUUUAUCAAGCGAAUGAGAUUGGUUCAAUCUGAAUUCACGACAAUAGACACCAGCAUCGGCUCGGUCCCUCAACAAAUAGCAGUCAAUAUAACGAACUACUGUUCAAGCUGUCGCUCCCUCCAGUCGAAGGAAUUCUCACAUUGGAAAUUUUAAAAGGAAAACUACAUGUGAUUGUUAGGUCACUGGGAGCAAGUAUAUACUUAACUCAAUUAACCAUUUUGGGCCACAGUUUUGUGUGGCUAGAUGCACGAUUUAUUUGGUUACUGUUUCAUAGUCUCGUAACCGUAAGACGGUAUCUACAAAUAAGUCCUUCCUGUUUCAGAAACACAUACUGGUGUUAUAUUCAAAAGGGGCUCUAUAGUUGCCAUCAGGGACAUUUUCCGAAGAUGGUUUAUCUUUGAUUGGAUUGUCGUGACUUCUCUUUUCUGUAACCACACAAGAUCCACUGAAAAUACUUGCGUUUGGGUCCCCAAAGUUUUGAGUCAAGAAUUACCCCAACGUACUUAACUUGAUCUGUGACAAUAAUUUCAGAGUCAAAGAACUGCAACGGACGGGCUCCGGUUGUAAUCCUUCGUUACGUGAAAAGCAUGUUUUAUAUGGAUUAACUGAUAGCCCAACAUGAAGACACCAUUGCUCAACAACACGUAAGGCUUGUUGCAGAAGGCAUCGGCGACAAAGUUCCAUAGAAGUGGUGAUAGCAAACCACCAAGGACAUCCAUAGACACUCAGUUUAUUUUAUCUCUACUUGUCUUAAAGAUGAGCACAGAUGUCGAUUACUAAGCAUUGCGUAUAUCCAGUUAUAUAAAGCUACUCCAUGACCCCGUGCUGCUUCCAAAAUGGAUUCGAAAGACACGUUGUCAAAACCACCUUUAAUUUCAAGAAAAACUCCCAAGCUUGAUUGCUUUUGUGAAACAGAGUGGUAGUAGGGUUAAUUAAACGUUCCACUGAUUUGAGAAGGACGGAGGUUAGACUGAUCGGUCUAAAGCUCUUUGCCUCCUCAUAGGCUGCCUUUGGGAAUGAAUUUUACAGUUAUUUCCCGCCAAGCUGAUGGAAUGAAUCCUGCGAAACAUUUUCUCACUUCAACUGGCCAGAGCGUCUUAAUCCGCCAACUGUACUAGAAAAACUAAACUGAAGUUCUACUCUGGUGGCACUGUCGUACUUUAUGCUCGGUUCAUUGGUGUAUAAUAUAAUAGGGAUGACUAUUUUCUUUUUUUGUGUGCAAUAUGUAUAUUUAUUCUGGGAGGGUCUUAUCUACUACAUACAAGUACCUUUUUCAAAAAAAUGCAUGAAGUGUUCACAUCCUCUUUGUAGUACACCCUAGUUUUUUACGCGGUUUUUUUGCGCAGGUUUUUACGAGGUUUUUUUUAACGUGGAUUUUCUAAUUACCGCGGUUUUUUUUACGCGAAUUUUCCAAUUAACGCGGUUUUGCAAAAAUAUUCUAAGUCCUUUUGAAUGCAAAGAACUUAGAAGAAUUUUGGCAGUUUUUAUUUUGCGCGGAUUUCGCCACUAACACGGUUUUUGCAAAAAAUAAAUCCUUUUGAAUGCAAGAAUGGAAGAGACGGGUCUGGAAGAUUCCUUUCGGCCCGCACCCCAACAAUAUGGGUAUUUUCGGAAUGGUCUUGAAGAGUAGGCGCCAGAAAUUGAUUUUUGACGCCAUUUUGCAAUCAAAGAUGGCGACUUCCGGUUUAGCGAAAUUCGCUAUAACUCAAUCAAUAUGGGUAUUUUCGGAAUGGACUUGAAGAGUAGGCUUUCGGAGAUUUGGCACAAACAAAUUAAAGUUAACUAAAUCUUUGAGCCAUAAAAUAAUACGAAACUGCGAUGAAUUACUUUUAAGUUUAGUGUAGGAAGGGAAGUACUUUCAAAAAUAAAAUAUUCCCAAAACCAUGCUUCUGUUCGUCGGUGAGUGAAAUCAACUCCCAAUCGAACCAAAAACCGUUCGAUUUAAGAACGGAAAAUAUCAUUUAUAUGACCAAAUGCUCAAAUGGAUCAAACAGCAAGCGCACUGAAACAACUUAUCCCCCAUAUCUUCUAGAAGCAGAAGUUCGAGCCUGGAUCAAACGCUGUAUAGAAAAAAGUCAGACACAUGUGGCAGAAAGACCAUGAAAGAUAGAAAGAGAGAAAAAACAGUCUUUCCUCCAUUUUCGUUUUCUUUUUUUUUUUUUUUUUCAACCAGUGAGUUCUACCCACAAAUUGUUUUGACAUUCCUCCAUAGGCGCGGUGGAAAAGUGGGAGUAGGCUGCAUAUCAGCCGAAUAUUUCGCCAAAAGUGGCUUUUGAACAGCACUCAUGUACAAUAUGAUGCCUAUAAGCUCAGUUACCCUUGUUCUAUACGCGACUAUAGAACCGAAUUGAUGCCAUUUUUACGGCUUAGUGGUUACUUGGGUAGUUAUUAUCUGAGACCAUCAAAUAUGGUUUUUCUGGCGAAUAUUAUGCGCUAUCAUUUUAAAAUCCUAAGUGAUAAAGGAAAAUUCAAAAUGGCAAACCUUCAUGACAAUUUACUGAAAAACCACGUAAUACGAAUAUUCUUAAUGGAUGGAUUUCCCAUCUUCACUGUGUUCCCGUUCAUAAUUAAGGCUCAAGUUACUUCAAGGCUUGGUAGUAUGCGUAGGAAAAAUUGUGUUCAGCUUUGCCACCAGAUUAACCAUUUCAGCCUUCUCAAAACUCUAAAAGAAGAAUGUCAGCCGAUUUAUUAGAUCACGAUUCAAAUCAUACAAAAUAGCUACUGGAAAAACUAUCGGUUUAGCUAAAUGGUGCUUUUGAAAAAGUGGCUGUAGUUUUUUUCAUUCCGCAGUUGUGUUGCGUACCCCAGCACGGUGUGGUAGUGUGACAAAAAAUCACAGCCACUUUUUCAUAAGCACCAUUUAGCUAAACCGAUAGUUUUUCCAGCAGCUAUUUUGUAUGAUUUGAAUCGUUGUGAUUUAAUAAAUCGGCUGAUAUUCUUCUUUUAGAGUUUUGAAAAGGUUUGCAUGGAUAAUCCGGUGGCAAAGCUGAACACAAUUUUUCCUACCCAUACUACACUUCGUUCAAAUCUAACACAUGCUCAAAAAAGGUAACUUGAGCCUUAAAUGCAAUAUGUGCAAGUGAUAGAUUAUUUCUCUUCCAUCACCCCCUGUGCAGUCGACGAUUUUUCUCUGUGAAUUCUGUCAGCAUCGCAUUCUGCAUAUGAUGAAUUGGAACAGACUGCAGGUAACACCCAUUUCGACGGGACGCCCAAUAUUAGUUAGUACUACUGAUCCUUUCAAUCCUUACCACAGUUGAAGUAUCAUCAUGCGGUUCUUUAAUUUUUACUUGCAACAUGCAAUUGAAAACAGUUCUUUGGAUAUUGCUGAUCUAUUUUGCUCUGCUAAUUUAAUGUUGUAGAGUUCGUAGCGAUCUGAAAUGUACAUUGUUUGUUGAGUUAGAGCAACUUCAAGCAAUAUGAUUAUGUGGAAUGCAACUACUGGAAAAAAAUACUCUCAUUAAGAUUGGACUGGGAGGGAAAUUGACAAUUAAAGUGCAUUUUUUCUGUACCUUUUGCUUAAUUUUCGUAAAAAGUUAUCAAUUCAUAUUGUGGGUUGUGGUUUUUUUUUGUAAUCGUAGCAUUCUCAGUUGAAACUUAAGUGCUUUGUUUGGCAAUUGUCAGAUUAAUAUGCAAGCUCAGCUGAUGGUUGAAGUAGAUUCCAGCUGAAACAUUUUCAUCUACAUCCUCAUAUCUACCUGUUAUAGUUGAUCCCUUUUUUCCUAUACCAACACUAUCACCCACCAUAAACAAACAAAAACUGAUAAAAGCAACAUCUUCUCCUUCACCUUCACAUUGUUUGAGACUGUCAUCAACUUACGCAUUUUAUCUGUGAUAUUUUCACGUUCAUCUAUGAGCCGAUGGCAAACCCAUAAAAUUAUGAAAAGAUUGAAAAUUAGUAGAGAAUGACAAAACAGUCUAUUGUUACCAAAAAAAAUUAAAAAAAAAACUCCUGAAACACUGACAAACUACACCUUGAACAUUCGCUGAACAAAGCGAGUAAACAAAAAUUCUAAAAGGCUAUAUUUCGAAUAAAAAUCUUUGAUAACAAACACAAAAGCAAAUCAACCAAAACCAUGCAGAUGCCGUUUUCUCAAAACAAUUGAAAACAAGCAAAAGAUCUCGAACAAAUUGAAGUUUUAGGUACUACUUUUAGAUCGCAAAAUUUCAACCAAGAACCACCUUGACCAAAAGAAAAAUAUUUUGCUUUUAGAUAAAAUUUUAAACAGCGACGAAUGAAAUGAAAGAAACCUUACAUAAAACCGGUAAAAUCAGCUUCAACACUAUGUCCCUCCUUGUUCUCAAAUAAUCCGCAGUACAAGAUGAACGAAAAAGUACAUAAAGUUAUACUAUUGUAAGACCUGGUUAAAUUCUCCAAAUAAAGGACCUCUAGAGAGCACAUUUGAA